rnacentral:rRNA from 1 species
GUUAAAAAGCUCGUAGUUGGAUUUCGGUUAAGAGCGACCGGUCCGCCGUUUGGUGUGCACUGGUUGGUUUUAACUUCCUGUAGAGGACGUGCUCUGGGCUUAACGGUCUGGACUCGGAGUCUACGUGGUUACUUUGAAAAAAUUAGAGUGUUCAAAGCGGGCUUACGCUUGAAUAUUUCAGCAUGGAAUAACACUAUAGGACUCCUGUCCUAUUUCGUUGGUCUCGGGACGGGAGUAAUGAUUAAGAGGAACAGUUGGGGGCAUUCGUAUUUCAUUGUCAGAGGUGAAAUUCUUGGAUUUAUGAAAGACGAACUUCUGCGAAAGCAUUUGCCAAGGAUGUUUUCAUUAAUCAAGAACGAAAGUUGGGGGCUCGAAGAUGAUUAGAUACCAUCCUAGUCUCAACCAUAAACGAUGCCGACUAGGGAUUGGCGGAUGUU